rnacentral:rRNA from 1 species
GAUAGCUCGUACUCGCAAGACUAGAUUAAGUUGAUCAUGGCUCAGAACCACGCUGUAGGCGUGCCUAACACAUGCAAGUCGAACGCGAAAGUCCCGCAAGGGAUCAGUAGAGUGGCAAACGGGUGAGUAACGCGUGGGUGACCUGCCUUCGAGCGGGGGAUAACGUUCCGAAAGGGACGCUAAUACCGCAUAACAUCCUGCCUUUUAACGAGUGUGGAGAUCAAAGCCUGGGACCGCAAGGCCAGGCACUCGAAGAGUGGGCCCGCGUCCGAUUNAGCUAAGUUGGUGGGUGUAAUGGCUCACCAAGGACUCCGANCGGUAUCCGGCCUGAGANAGGCGGACGGACACACUGGGACUNGAGACACGGCCAGACUCCUACGGGAGGCAGCANUGGGGAAUUGUUCAGCAAUAGGGCGCAAGCCUGAGCGACGCAACAGCCGACGUGGAGGAUGAAGAUCUUCGGGUCGUAAACUCCUUACGAUCGAGACAGAACGGCGUUACGGGUAACA